GGGUCAGUAGGUUGGUCGUGCCACCGGUACGUACUGGUCUCACUGAUUCCUCUUUCCUGAAGAACCGUAAUGCCAUUAAUUUGGUGUUGCGGGGAAACAGGACUGUUACUUUGAAUAAAUUAGAGUGUUUAAAGCAAGCUAACGCUUGAAUACAUUAGCAUGGAAUAAUGAAAUAGGACGAUCGAUCCUAUUUUGUUGGUUUCUAGGAUUGACGUA
rnacentral:rRNA from 1 species